rnacentral:rRNA from 1 species
AACGAACGCUGGCGGCAUGCCUAACACAUGCAAGUCGGACGAAGCCUUCGGGCUUAGUGGCGCACGGGUGCGUAACGCGUGGGAAUCUGCCCUUAGGUACGGAAUAACUCAGGGAAACUUGUGCUAAUACCGUAUGAUGUCGAGAGACCAAAGAUUUAUCGCCUAGGGAUGAGCCCGCGUAGGAUUAGCUAGUUGGUGGGGUAAAGGCCUACCAAGGCGACGAUCCUUAGCUGGUCUGAGAGGAUGAUCAGCCACACUGGGACUGAGACACGGCCCAGACUCCUACGGGAGGCAGCAGUGGGGAAUAUUGGACAAUGGGCGAAAGCCUGAUCCAGCAAUGCCGCGUGAGUGAAGAAGGCC